UACAGGGGGUGCAAACAUUGCUCGGAAUCAUUGGGCGUAAAGCGCACGUAGGCGGUUUGUUAUGUCGGAUGUGAAAGCCCUUGGCUCAACUGAGGAAGUGCAUCCGAAACUGGCAGCUAGAGUACUAAAGAGGGUCGCGGAAUUCCCGGUGUAGAGGUGAAAUUCGUAGAUAUCGGGAGGAACACCGGUGGCGAAGGCGGCGACCUGGGUAGAUACUGACGCUGAGGUGCGAAAGCGUGGGGAGCAAACAGG
rnacentral:rRNA from 1 species